rnacentral:lncRNA from 1 species
GCGGCAGCGGGCAGAGCUGGGCGAGCGGAAGGGACCUUGGAGGGGAACCCAAGAGGGGGGUGUAGGCAGCGCCGGCAAGCAGCGAGGAGCCGGGCUGCAGAGUCUACCACGCUCUGCAUCCGGGGCGGGCGACGCGGGGCGGAGAAAGUCCAGGAGAAAGUCUGACAACCACGGGGAGCGGGGGAGGGAGAGACCCUGUGGAAGAGACGAAAACUGCGGCAAAAAAAGGAAAGGAGGGUUACGGGCACCGAGGGGGAGCUGGAGUCAGCCGCAAGAAGAGAGGGAGCGGGGGAGGAAAAGAGGCGGGAGAGAGACCCUAAAAAGCAAGCUAGAUGCUCCAGCGGGCCGCUCUGGUGUGGGGAGGGAGCGUCAUCUCAAGGACACUGAAAAAGGCAGGUGGAUGGUGCAGAAAUGCGGCCGCCGCAGCCCCGGGCGGGCGGGCACCGGCCCGCUGCCCUCGCCCCCGCCCCGGGACGCCCCCGCUCCGCACGCUGAAGGCCCAAAGCGCACCCCCACCCCCAGCCCCACUCCCGGCCCAGCCAGUGCUCGGCGCUGGCAUGAAAUUGGCUGCAGCCGUAAUGAGUCCGCGCCGCGCGGAGGAGGCUGAGGGCCCGCCAGGGAGCCUUGCGCGCCUCGUUUAGCUUGUUUAUUGUUCAGGCCUAAUUAAAACGUUCCACCGCGCUGCGUUUACAUCCGCCCCCCGCUAAUGAAUUCUCGGCCGCCGGGCGAUUUCGGAAACUGCCGCGGGCCGGAAGGGGGUGGGAGGCGACGGGGCUGGGGAAGGAGUGAAAGAGAGGACACCCACGCACACCCCGUUCCACGGCCAAAGGAGCCAUUAGGGGGCGAGGAACGCGGCUGUGCGGAGGAGCGGAAUCUUCUCAGCAGCGACCUGCGAAGGGCUCAGCGGCCACAGGAGGGCGGCAGAGAACAGUGCUCCCUACAGAUCCAGACAUCGGCCCUGGAUGCUGUCUGGAAUCCAGGCAAGGCCAGGCUGGGCUGCCCUAGGCUGGGGACGUCUUUAGCUCGAGCAAGAACCUAUGAAUUUCUGAAUUCAGGAAUCCUUGCAUCCCAUCUCAAGCUCUCUAGUCCCUGAAAUGCCAUCGCCCUCCUUCGCCUCCCUUCCAUUUCUGGUUCUAGCACUGGGGCUGCUGGCACAGAAGGACCCUGUGGCUUUUCCUUCAUGGUAUAGCAGAUAACACCCACGGUCCUCCGUGACAUUCCCUGGGGUCCCAGAUGAUAACUGGGGCCAGAACUAGAACCCAUGACUUCUUGGUUCUCAGCGCAGGGGUCAUCCCGUUGUGUCAGCUGCAGCUCCUGAAAAACACCAUACCCUACAGGCCACAACCAGACAGCAUCUCAAACCCCUGGCUUAAACAAUCAAUGUCAAAGCUACUGUGUUCUGUAUGUUUACAUAUGGAACUGGUGCAUACAAGACUGUUAACCCAGAACACACAUGUGUGCUGUAGCUACCUGGCUGUACACCCUUCAUCCUCAGGUACAUGACCCUCUGUCCCUUCUCUUCCUACUUUCUGAACUGCAAAAGAAGCUUCUCUUCAUUUAUAAUUUGGGCUUUUCACUGUAGUUUCAGAAACUCCUCGAAGCUGUAGACACAGAAGUCCUUUCCCAGUUCUAACCUUGGUCCAUCCUACCACAGCCCUUUACACCUGGAGAAGAGGACCUGCACAUGAUCUUCAGCUCUCUCUUCCCGGGUAUCCCUCACCUGGUCCUGUCACUGCUUCUUGCCUCUCCUGUCCCUCUGCUGACCAACCUAUGCCUCCCCCAGAUUCUUCUUGCUGCCACUGGUUCUCCUUUCAUCUCAAAAGCUGAGCCACCCAGGGAGGUGGGCACAGAAAAGAGAAAAGAAGAAAGGUAGGAGGGAUUGGGAAGAAAAUCUGUCUACAAGUCAGAAGAGGACUCUGUCCCUGCCCCCUUUACUCUCAGCUGGUAAGUUCUACUUAGAGUCUGACAUCAGUCCUCUGGCUAGUCCUCACUUUAUCUACUCUCCUUAAAGCUAAAGAGCUACAGAAGCUGAGAGUAAAUGAGGAGAAAUGGAUCCAGUUGUGUCGGGUAUAUGUGCAAGCUUGUAGACUGACAGCCUGAGUGUGUGUAUACACUUGCAUCACACACCACCCCUUCCCCAUUGUCGCCCCCACACACACGUAUUCCAUGCCAUCCCCAAUCUAGGAUUCCUCCUAUAAAACAAGAGGAGAAAAACAUCCCAACCUCUCAAACAUUUUAUUCUAACUUUGAUCCUCCAAGGGAAACCUAAAAAGACAACAGCCUCCCCCUCUGUUUCCCCCUCCCCAUGUCCUUGUCCACUCUGGUUUUUGAGAUUUCUUCUUAAACCCUGUGGGGUGCAGCCCCUACAUACCUUCCCCAGAAUCCAGGAGGCACUAGAGCCUCCUCCCUGCAAAGGACUGAGACAAACGCCAAUCACGUUGGGGCCUCUCACAGUGCCCAUUCUGCUAUGAAUUCCCAAGGUCAAAACCAUUCUGGUGUUAUUAAAAACAUAAAUGUUGCAUACCAGGCAGCGGGGGGAAAAAUUAUAAGGCAGCCAGACGAGAGGGAGAUGGAGGGGCCAGUAAUUGUCUUCGUCUUCCCAGAGUCAAGCUCCACGGGGCUGGAGCCGCACGCAGAACAUUGCUUUUUAAUUUAACUCAGUAAGGUCAGCAGCAGCAAAUGAGGCAGGGGAGGAAUGGCACCUCAGAGGGAGGGCACCAGGGCCUGCAGAACCGGGGCUCCUGGCCAAGAUCUCCAAGAAGUGCCAGGGGAAGCUGAGGGAGAAUGGCAGGGAGGAUUCGGUGACCCUUGGCUCACCAGAGAAGGGAGCUGGACUGAGGGGGAGUGAUAUAGGAACUCCAAGAAUCAUUAUAAGAGCUUCUGAGAGCCUGGGAUUUAAGUGGAAAGAAAGAAUAAGGCUUCAGAGGGACUGUAAGUGAGACCAGAAUGCCUGAUAGAGACAAAUACCCCCUUCACUUUCCACAGUACCCACUCUACAGAGGAGAAUAACAAGGUUCAUGGUUGGAACUCAGAAGUUCUCCUUUCCCCCAGUACCUGUGAAUCCUGGAGUCCAAGUGGAGAGAAUUCUCCAGUGAGGUGGGCCACUCUGUCGCAUCCCCUUCAUCUCAAGGAUGCAAGGGGGCAGGGGAGAGGAAAAUGGCAGGAGAAACUGAGGCAGAGCUGCCCUCCCUCAGAACCUUCCUCAUCUUCCCCACCUUUUUAGGGUCCCAGCUUCCCAUCUGCAGCUCAGAUAGCUGUAUGGUGGUUCUCUCCAUUUCCAGUGCUAUAGGAAGGAUUGAAGUUAGACCAGAGAAGGGACUUCCCAGAUCAGCAUCUUGGUCAUAGGCACAACCCAGGAUAGGGUAGAAAGGCUAAGGAACCUGGGAUUUUCUGAAUAGGACCAAUGAACUGAGCAUGAUGGGAUUAAUGAGGCUGGAGAAGGUGGGAGACUCACUGACUGGGGGUGGAGAGCAGCUGUGAAAAAGCCGUGCAACAGUCACAGGCAGUAGCAUCCAAAUACACUUUGGGACUUACUGGAACUUCUGCAGAUCAGACCUCAGAUCCUCCUGCUUCAGUUUCAGGAUGAAACUGUUAGGAGUUUCAUCCUGUUGCCCUGUUAGGGUUUUUGUUUUUGUUUUAGGGAAGGAGGAUUAAAACAAUAGGUUUGAGACUGAAGGACAGAGUUUUAAUUCUCUGUCUCCAUCCCUAAGUGUCCUUGAUACUUGGCAGGUUUCUACUUCCAUGUCAGUCAGGAAUUAGGAGACCCCAAUGUCAAUUUGGAAAUCUGAAGUUUGCUACCCUCAUAAUGUACACCCCUGCCAUCAUCUCCCUUUCCGGAAGGUCUCACUCUCAGCGCUGGGACCCCAACCCUGCAGUUCUCCGUAUCUGCCACAAGGUGGCGGCCAAAGCAUCGAUUGAUCCAGAGCUAGACCUGGUGCCUCACUAGAGCCAGGACCCUGGCCUCCACCCAGUCUCCAUUCACCCCUUCCCCACCUGGGAUCUGCCAACCCCGAGGGACCCAGGAAAGGAGAAACUUUCUGGAAGAACUCCAGCUCUUCGGAUAAAUGGGCUGGGUGAGGACUGGGUGGGAGAAGGAAAGGGAAGGUGCAAGGGAAACCAGAGAAACACAAACCUGGAGGGCUUCAGUGGGGGAGCAGGCAGUCAGGUGUGGUGAGAAGCCCAAGCUGAGAAUCACAGUGGCUGCCUGCCACUGCCCGCACCACACCCAGCACCCCAGGGGCUCCAGCACAGCAGCCCAGAGCUGUUAACUUGCCCAGAGGCAACCAGAGCAGAAGGAGUACCAGGAGCUGGGAUGCAGGGAGCCUACACCAGAGUAAGCCACCAAGAUCCAGUCAGGGAAAGGGUCGGCACCACCUCUUCCUCAUCAGUAUGAGACCAUGAGACCCGGUGGGACUCCGUUAUCCCUGCUAUUCCCAGAAAACGUUAAACAGGGAAGGGUUCAGUCAGUCUCCCCUGCAGUACUGAUUCUCCUGGUGCGGGAAGAGGGUCCUGGGAGACAGGAAAGAAGAAAGAAGGCAGAUCCCUAGAGAGAAGAAAAAACAGCCCUGCUCACAGGGAGGUGCCAGUAUGUGGGGACCAGGAAAGAGAAUAGGAAGAGGCCUGCAAGCACCUUGGCAGUGGUUUCUAAAGGAAACGUCUGGGAUCCCGAACCAGGAGGAUCAGUCAAGGAGGGCUUCCUAGAGGAGGACAGUAUGGGGCAAUCUUGUAAAAUGCUGAGAGGCUGGUCUGGAAAAAGGAGACAGAAGAUAGUUCAGGCUGAAGACAGACUAUAUGUAUGAAAUUGUUUGGGGUCAGGGGACAACUAAAUCUCUGGAUGGCUGCUCAGGUGGAGCUUAGAGACCACGCCACCCUGCAGUGGGAGAAUGGGGAGUUGAAGGAACAGACAUGGUGCAUGUGAGGCAAUGAGGCCUCAAGACCCAGCUGGCAUGGCUGGGCAGCACCCGGGCCCAGCUGAAUAUUCCUCCCUCUCCCCCACCCCCAUAUAGCCAGGAGAAUAGGAACAAAAUGUAGGAUCCUCCAAAUAGGGCACAAGAAGGACUCCUAGACCAGGAGUCAGGGGCCUGGGUUUUUCAGAAGCAACCACUGCAUAGCAGGGGACGCUGGGUAAGUCUUCCCAUCUCUGAGGACUCUGGCUGCUGUCUGUACAGGCUGAUACUGAUGCUCUCUGACCUCCCUUUUCUGAGACUGUCCUGUUGAUGACUGCCCUCCUCCCAAAUAAUGGUCUGACUCAUCUGUGAACUGCCAGGCUUUAGUCCUCCUUCUCUCGGUGUCCGUAUACUCCAGACACACUCCUCCAUCCAGAAGAAAUUACUCCAUUGCUGUGGUGGGGGAAUGGAGGUGCAACACCCUAUUUUCAUGAAAUUACCCUGGCCUAUUGGGCAUCAAACAUGACAAGAGGAUCUGAAGUUAGACUCAAGGAAGAACGUCCUAGCACAAGUGGCCUGAAAACCUCAGCUUGUGUGAAAUGCAGUAAGAAUAUAUACUAG